rnacentral:rRNA from 1 species
CAAGUCGAACGCGAAGGUCCCCUUCGGGGGAUAAGUAGAGUGGCGCACGGGUGAGUAACACGCUAGGUAAUCUACCUUCGGGUGGGGAAUAACAACCGGAAACGGUUGCUAAUACCGCAUAAUGCAGCGGCACCUAAUGGUGACAGUUGUUAAAGCGGGGGAUCGCAAGAUCUCGCGCCUGAAGAGGAGCCUGCGGCGGAUUAGCUAGUUGGUAGGGUAACGGCCUACCAAGGCGACGAUCCGUAACCGGCCUGAGAGGGCGGUCGGUCACACUGACACUGACAUACGGGUCAGACUCCUACGGGAGGCAGCAGUCGGGAAUUUUGGGCAAUGGGCGAAAGCCUGACCCAGCAACGCCGCGUGAAGGAUGAAAUCCCUCGGGAUGUAAACUUCGCAAGAACAGGAAGAAUAAGUUUGUGCUAAUACCACAAGCGAUGACGGUACUGUUUGUAAGCUCCGGCUAACUCCGUGCCAGCAGCCGCGGUAAUACGGGGGGAGCAAGCGUUGCUCGGAUUUACUGGGCGUAAAGGGCGCGUAGGCGGCCUCCGCAAGUCAGUUGUGAAAUCUCCGAGCUUAACUCGGAAAGGUCAACUGAUACUGCGGGGCUAGAGUGCGGAAGGGGCAACUGGAAUUCUUGGUGUAGCGGUGAAAUGCGUAGAUAUCAAGAGGAACACCUGCGGCAAAGGCGGGUUGCUGGGCCGACACUGACGCUGAGGCGCGAAAGCUAGGGGAGCGAACGGGAUUAGAUACCCCGGUAGUCCUAGCCUUAAACGAUGAAUGCUUGGUGUCUGGGGUUAUAUAGUCCCC